rnacentral:rRNA from 1 species
UACGGAGGGUGCAAGCGUUAUCCGGAUUCACUGGGUUUAAAGGGUGCGUAGGUGGGUCUGUAAGUCAGUGGUGAAAUCUCCGUGCUUAACAUGGAAACUGCCAUUGAUACUAUAGGUCUUGAAUUAUCUGGAGGUUAGCGGAAUAUGUCAUGUAGCGGUGAAAAUGCGCAGAUAUCGGGGAAAGAACACCCCGUGGCUAAGGCGGCUCUCUGGACA